AUGCAGUCGAGCGAAUGGAUUAGAGCUUGCUCUAUGAAGUUAGCGGCGGACGGGUGAGUAACACGUGGGUAACCUGCCCAUAAGACUGGGAUAACUCCGGGAAACCGGGGCUAAUACCGGAUAAAUUUUGAACUGCAUGGUUCGAAAUUGAAAGGCGGCUUCGGCUGUCACUUAUGGAUGGACCCGCGUCGCAUUAACUAGUUGGUGAGGUAACGGCUCACAAAGGCAAAACGGUGGGGCCCCCGGAGAGGGGGCACUUUGACUCGCACCCGUCCAGCUGCGGAGCAACAUAGGGAAUCUUCCCAAUGGACGAGGUCUGACGGAGCAGGGCCGCGUGAGUGAUGAAACUAUCCACAUCAACUCUGUUGUUAGAAAAA
rnacentral:rRNA from 1 species